UCGGACGUGGUGGAUGGUGCAUACCUGCGGAGACUAACAAGCUUUUCGACGAAACCGUCUACUGCGGGAGAUCCGGGUUCGAUUCCCGGCGUCCGAA